GUCAACUUUGAUUUCAUGUAGACAAAUAGUAGUAAGUAAUUGUUUCUUGUUUAUACAAUGUUAAUGUCAUGCCAUUCUGAACUGUUUGCUGUCUGUGUGCUUCACAGGGUGACCGAGGAUUCGAUGGGCUCGCUGGUUUGCCUGGAGAAAAGGGUCACAGGGGUGAGACGGGUCCUCAGGGGCCUCCUGGGCCUCCAGGAGAGGAUGGAGAAAGAGGUGAUGAUGGUGAGGUCGGACCCAGAGGUCUGCCCGGAGAAUCGGGUCCUCGUGGUUUGUUGGGCCCCAAAGGUCCCCAAGGGCCUCCAGGACCUCCCGUAAGUACAAACUUUAUCUUUUUUUUUAUGAUUUAUAUUUUAGACACUUUACACGCAUACAUUUUUUUUUAUCUUUAUCUGAAUCAAUUUGUUGGUUUUCAUCAGUCAAGUCCCCAACCUUCAUGAUAUUGUUCCACUUAUUUAAGAAAGAAACAGCUUAAUUAUUAAUGUCCUAAUUUUUUUUUUUAAUGUGAGAAUAUAAAAAUGUGUGAAUAUUUUUUAAACGUGUUAAACUAUCAUUUUAGGGUGUGACUGGUAUGGACGGACAUCCUGGACCUAAAGGAAACAUUGUAAGUCUGAAACACACACACACACACACACACACACACACACACACACACACUCUUGUGCAUAUUCAAACAUGCUUAUACACACACAUAUUCACUUUAUUAUGCUUCUUUUUUCACUCAUCAGGGUCCUCAGGGUGAGCCAGGACCUCCAGGUCAACAAGGCAACCCCGGAGCUCAGGUAUUCGUCAAGCCACGCCCACUUAGACAUGUUCUAACCCACCUGUCACUGACCUAUUAACCAGUUCAUGUCCUCUAAUUCUGUCCUCUUCCACAGGGACUUCCAGGUCCUCAGGGAGCGAUCGGACCUCCAGGAGAGAAGGUGAGACCACAUGAGUGGAUGAUCAAUGGAUGCUUCUCUGGUUAAUUCAUUAAAAGCC
rnacentral:lncRNA from 1 species